rnacentral:rRNA from 1 species
GAUGAACGCUGGCGGCGUGCCUAAUACAUGCAAGUCGAGCGAACAGACGAGGAGCUUGCUCCUCUGACGUUAGCGGCGGACGGGUGAGUAACACGUGGAUAACCUACCUAUAAGACUGGGAUAACUUCGGGAAACCGGAGCUAAUACCGGAUAAUAUAUUGAACCGCAUGGUUCAAUAGUGAAAGACGGUUUUGCUGUCACUUAUAGAUGGAUCCGCGCCGCAUUAGCUAGUUGGUAAGGUAACGGCUUACCAAGGCGACGAUGCGUAGCCGACCUGAGAGGGUGAUCGGCCACACUGGAACUGGGACGCGGUCCAGACUCCUACGGGAGGCAGCAGUAGGGAAUCUUCCGCAAUGGGCGAAAGCUUGACGGAGCAACGCCGCGUGAGUGAUGAAGGUCUUCGGAUCGUAAAACUCUGUUAUUAGGGAAGAACAAAUGUGUAAGUAACUAUGCACGUCUUGACGGUACCUAAUCAGAAAGCCACGGCUAACUACGUG